AUUGAACGCUGGCGGCAGGCCUAACACAUGCAAGUCGAACGGUAACAGGAAGCAGCUUGCUGCUUUGCUGACGAGUGGCGGACGGGUGAGUAAUGUCUGGGAAACUGCCCGAUGGAGGGGGAUAACUACUGGAAACGGUAGCUAAUACCGCAUAACGUCGCAAGACCAAAGAGGGGGACCUUAGGGCCUCUUGCCAUCGGAUGUACCCAGAUGGGAUUAGCUAGUAGGUGGGGUAACGGCUCACCUAGGCGACGAUCCCUAGCUGGUCUGAGAGGAUGACCAGCCACACUGGAACUGAGACACGGUCCAGACUCCUACGGGAGGCAGCAGUGGGGAAUAUUGCACAAUGGGCGCAAGCCUGAUGCAGCCAUGCCGCGUGUAUGAAGAAGGCCUUCGGGUUGUAAAGUACUUUCAGCGGGGAGGAAGGGAGUAAAGUUAAUACCUUUGCUCAUUGACGUUACCCGCAGAAGAAGCACCGGCUAACUCCGUG
rnacentral:rRNA from 1 species